rnacentral:rRNA from 1 species
UACGGAGGGUGCAAGCGUUAUCCGGAUUCACUGGGUUUAAAGGGUGUGUAGGCGGAUUUUAAGUCAGUGGUGAAAUCUCCGGGCUCAACCCGGAAACUGCUAUUGAUACUAUUAGUCUUGAAUUCUGUUGAGGUGGGCGGAAUACAUCAUGUAGCGGUGAAAUGCUUAGAUAUGAUGUAGAACACCGAUUGCGAAGGCAGCUCACUAAGCAGACAUUGACGCUGAGGCACGAAAGCGUGGGGAUCAAACAAGA